CAGUACCGUGAGGGAAAGGCGAAAAGAACCCCGGCGAGGGGAGUGAAAAAGAACCUGAAACCGUGUACGUACAAGCAGUGGGAGCCCCACCACCAAAGCAUUUGCUGUACCGCGUUGACGGAGCGAAGCGACGUCAAACCGAUAAAACAGCAGUGUAAAGUGAGCCGCAGGGCGCUUUGCGCGACAGCGCAAAGGCAGGCGGUUUCGCGUAGCGAAAGCGAAUGCUUUGGGGUGGGGUGACUGCGUACCUUUUGUAUAAUGGGUCAGCGACUUAUAUUCUGUAGCAAGGUUAACCGAAUAGGGGAGCCGUAGGGAAACCGAGUCUUAACCGGGCGUUAAGUUGCAGGGUAUAGACCCGAAACCCGGUGAUCUAGCCAUGGGCAGGUUGAAGGUUGGGUAACACUAACUGGAGGACCGAACCGACUAAUGUUGAAAAAUUAGCGGAUGACCUGUGGCUGGGGGUGAAAGGCCAAUCAAACCGGGAGAUAGCUGGUUCUCCCCGAAAGCUAUUUAGGUAGCGCCUCGUGAAUUCAUCUCCGGGGGUAGAGCACUGUUUCGGCUAGGGGGCCAUCCCGGCUUACCAACCCGAUGCAAACUGCGAAUACCGGAGAAUGUUAUCACGGGAGACACACGGCGGGUGCUAACGUCCGUCGUGAAGAGGGAAACAACCCAGACCGCCAGCUAAGGUCCCAAAGUCAUGGUUAAGUGGGAAACGAUGUGGGAAGGCCCAGACAGCCAGGAUGUUGGCUUAGAAGCAGCCAUCAUUUAAAGAAAGCGUAAUAGCUCACUGGUCGAGUCGGCCUGCGCGGAAGAUGUAACGGGGCUAAACCAU
rnacentral:rRNA from 1 species